rnacentral:rRNA from 1 species
UACGUAGGGGGCAAGCGUUGUCCGGAUUUAUUGGGCGUAAAGAGCUCGUAGGUGGUUCGGUAAGUCGGAUGUGAAAUCUCCAGGCUCAACCUGGAGGGGUCAUUCGAUACUGCCGUGACUAGAGUUCGGUAGGGGAGUGUGGAAUUCCUGGUGGAGCGGUGAAAUGCGCAGAUAUCAGGAGGAACACCCGUAGCGAAGGCGGCACUCUGGGCCGAUACUGACGCUGAGAAGCGAAAGCAUGGGGAGCGAACAGG